rnacentral:misc_RNA from 1 species
GAUCUUCGUCGCUGGAGUUACUACUGGACCAACCACGUAACUCGCUUCUCGCUCUUCGUCUGGAUUCUUCUAAGAUUGUCGUGGUUGUUCUAGGCUCUUUCUCUGUGGGAGAGUCACUGGUCCAGCAGCGUAACUCGCUUCUGGAGCGUCUUCUGGAUUCUGUGGGACUGUCGGGUAAUGGAACGGGUCCCCUUGGACAGAUGGUCAGGAUCUCCAGGAAGUUCAGACAGCGUUGGGCUCGAAAUGGUGUUUGCCUGACCAAUUCUGCCGCGAUUGCCCUCACCCAGGACCAGUACACGGUUGCUGAGUGUGAAUCCAAGAGCCAGUGCGUGUGGUUGACAUAGGCUGGGUGCUGCUUGUCGUAGGUUCAAUGCCCUCAACGGGAGCCUGGGAGUACCCUCGACCCAAAGCCAUCCCAUUCUGAUGGAUACGAUCCGCCUCUCACCUAGGUCCUCCACGUAUAGUCUGCCUAUCAGGACGCUGAAGUGUCUGGUGUGUAGCAAAUCCUCGACCGUUUUUGGUCCUAUUCCGCGAGAGAUUGAGCACGUCAUUAUCGCGAAAGUGUCGCCAUGAUCGAUCGUAUUCUCCACUACUAAACGUCGAUGGAAAACUAAGCCAACGGAGUUUCGCUCGCAUGAAAAUGGAAAAUGAAAGCAGCUCCGAGCUACGCUGCCGUUUCUGGAACGAAUUUUCUAAUCUCGCUCCAGCUGAAGCACGGUUCCGAAUCGC